rnacentral:ncRNA from 1 species
CGGCCUGAGGUCGGACGAGGCUACCCGCUGAAUUUAAGCAUAUUACUAAGCGGAGGAAAAGAAACUAACGAGGAUUCCCUCAGUAACGGCGAGUGAAGCGGGACGAGCCCAGCGCCGAAUCCGGCCGCUUAUGGAGCGGACGGAAUUGUGGCGUAUGGAAUUCGCUUCGAGCGCGGACCGGCUGCCCACGUCCUUCUGAUCGAGGCUUCAUCCCAUAGGGGGUGUCAGGCCCUUGGCGGCGGCUGGCGCGGGCUCUCGGUGUCUUCCCGGAGUC